rnacentral:rRNA from 1 species
UACGAAGGGGGCUAGCGUUGCUCGGAAUCACUGGGCGUAAAGCGCACGUAGGCGGCUUGUUAAGUCAGGGGUGAAAUCCUGGAGCUCAACUCCAGAACUGCCUUUGAUACUGGCGAGCUUGAGUUCGGGAGAGGUUGGUGGAACUGCGAGUGUAGAGGUGAAAUUCGUAGAUAUUCGCAAGAACACCAGUGGCGAAGGCGGCCAACUGGCCCGAUACUGACGCUGAGGUGCGAAAGCGUGGGGAGCAAACAGG